rnacentral:rRNA from 1 species
UACGUAGGCAGCAAGCGUUGUUCGGAAUUAUUGGGCGUAAAGGGUGCGUAGGUGGUUGCAUAAGUUAGGUGUGAAAGUCCUGGGCUUAACCUGGGGACUGCGCCUAAGACUGUGUAGCUAGAGUACUGUAGAGGGAGGUGGAAUUUCCAGUGUAGCGGUGAAAUGCGUAGAUAUUGGAAGGAACAUCGGUGGCGAAGGCGACCUCCUGGACAGUUACUGACACUGAGGCACGAGAUCAUGGGGAGCAAACCGG